rnacentral:rRNA from 1 species
CAGCAGCCGCGGUAAUACGUAGGGUGCGAGCGUUACUCGGAUUUACUGGGCGUAAAGCGUGCGCAGGCGGCCCGUUAAGACAGGUGUGAAAUCCCUGGGCUCAACCUAGGAAUUGCGCUUGUGACUGCGGGCUCGAGUACGGUAGAGGGGGGUGGAAUUCCUGGUGUAGCAGUGAAAUGCGUAGAGAUCAGGAGGAACACCGAUGGCGAAGGCAGCCCCCUGGGCCUGUACUGACGCUCAUGCACGAAAGCGUGGGGAGCAAACAGGAUUAGAUACCCUGGUAGUCCACGCCCUAAACGAUGGGUACUAGCCGUUUGGUGCGCGAUAGCGCUGAGUGGCGAAGCUAACGCGUGAAGUACCCCGCCUGGGGAGUACGGCCGCAAGGUUGAAACUUAAAGGAAUUGGCGGG